CACGUAGGCACCAAGCGUUGUCCGGAUUUAUUGGGCGUAAAGGGCUCGUAGGCGGUUCGGUAAGUCGGGUGUGAAAACUUUGGGCUUAACCCAAAGCGUGCACUCGAUACUGCCGUGACUUGAGUUCGGUAGGGGAGUGGGGAAUUCCUAGUGUAGCGGUGAAAUGCGCAGAUAUUAGGAGGAACACCGGUGGCGAAGGCGCCACUCUGGGCCGAUACUGACGCUGAUGAGCGAAAGCGUGGGGA
rnacentral:rRNA from 1 species